UACGGAGGGAGCGAGCGUUGUCCGGAAUUACUGGGUGUAAAGGGAGCGUAGGCGGGGAUGCAAGUUGGGUGUCAAAACUACCGGCUCAACUGGUAGUCGCACUCAAAACUGCAGCUCUUGAGUGAAGUAGAGGCAGGCGGAAUUCCUAGUGUAGCGGUGAAAUGCGUAGAUAUAUGGAAGAACACCAGUGGCGAAGGCGGCCGCCUGGCCUGUUACUGACGCUGAGGCACGAAAGCGUGGGGAGCAAAUAGG
rnacentral:rRNA from 1 species